CCCUCGGCGGCUCCCACCGCCGCUCGCAGCCAGAGCGGUGUCCCGUGCGGCGGCGCCGGGACGCACCUGAGGCCCCCGCCGGCUCUGGCGUAGCAGCGGCCGCUGGGAAGCCCUGGGACCCGCUCGCUCCGUCACUCUCCCCUCCCCCGGAGGCUGCGCUGACCGGACAAUGGCCGCUCCGCCCCCUCCCCUCCUCACGCACCCCUCCCAAGGAGUCACAAUGGUCUCGCCCGGGGGAGCCGCCGCCAAAGCCCAGCAGCUGAUCAGCUGGGAUCCGGGCGUGCCACUUUGUUCCGCUCCUCAAAGGAAGGCUACUGGGCUCUGCGCUGAGCCGAGCGCGUCGGGCUAUCACUCGGCGACGGGCCUCUGAGGCUCCCGUAUUCUCGGGACUUUUAAAAUCUGAGGCAAACUUACCUUCUCCCCGUCGGAAGAAGGGGAGCAGGCUUCUGACUACUCUGAGGCGCGUUGCCUCCCCCCCAAACACGAAUGGUUCAUUUGUUUAUUCCUGAGACACACUGAGAGGCAGAGACCCAGGCAGAGGGAGCAGCAGGCUCCACGCAGGGAACCCGAUGCGGGACUCGAUCCCAGGACCCCGGGAUCACGCCCUGAGCCGAAGGCAGAUGCUCAACCGCUGAGCCCCCCCGGGCGCCCGAAAGCCUCUUUUUCUAGAGCGGACGGGUUUGGUUUCUGGGGGGAGCGCUGUGGCCGAAUCCGUGAUGAAAACUGAUGUAACCAAAAGAAGUUCGAGCCACUAAAAAAUAAGCGUUUAGCACUCUGUGUCUUUGAUCUUGAACCCGUGCUGAGCUCCAGCCGUUCGUGAGCAGAAGGAGAUUGUGAAUGACCAAUCUCAACGCGGGGGAAACUUGUACCAUGAUCUCCUGGAGAAGCGACCCACAGCUGAGACCCUUGUGGGCGAAAGUCCAGGUGCCAGCUGCUUGCAGGAAGCUUUCCUGGCUCUUAGAAAAAGCUGCUGUAUACGCCCAACUCGGCGGGAAUAUGAGACCUCAGAGGGGGUAUUACCUAGAUCAAUGUUAUUACCAAAUGUUGCUAUUUUAUUUCUAUAGCUACAGUUAUGUUUGUGCAUGAUCUGUGGACUUGUUAACGUGUGUGUCACCUCCUUUGGCCUCUAAAGAGCAAAGAUCACAGCUUAGCAUCCUCUUAGAGAUGCUGCUACUUGAUUGCAGAAGUCAAGUCCUUACAGCCAGCACACCCCAAAAUGAGAGUGCUGGUUUUCGUAAUACUGAGUUUCAACUUUGUGAUUUUUCACAAGCCUUCAAUAAAUAUUUUUGUCAAGAA